AGAGUUUGAUCAUGGCUCAGGAUGAACGCUAGCUACAGGCUUAACACAUGCAAGUCGAGGGGAGACGACAUCGAAAGCUUGCUUUUGAUGGGCGUCGACCGGCGCACGGGUGAGUAACGCGUAUCCAACCUGCCCAUCACUUGGGGAUAACCUUGCGAAAGUAAGACUAAUACCCAAUGAUAUCUCUAGAAGACAUCUGAAAGAGAUUAAAGAUUUAUCGGUGAUGGAUGGGGAUGCGUCUGAUUAGCUUGUUGGCGGGGUAACGGCCACCAAGGCUACGAUCAGUAGGGGUUCUGAGAGGAAGGUCCCCCANAUUGGAACUGAGACACGGUCCAAACUCCGUACGGGAGCA
rnacentral:rRNA from 1 species